UACGUAGGGGGCGAGCGUUGUCCGGAUUUAUUGGGCGUAAAGAGCGUGUAGGCGGCCAGGUAGGUCCGUUGUGAAAACUCGAGGCUCAACCUCGAGACGUCGGCGGAAACCGUCUGGCUAGAGUCCGGAAGAGGAGAGUGGAAUUCCUGGUGUAGCGGUGAAAUGCGCAGAUAUCAGGAAGAACACCCGUGGCUAAGGCGGCUCUCUAGUACGGUACUGACGCUGAGACGCGAAAGCGUGGGGAGCGAACAGG
rnacentral:rRNA from 1 species